rnacentral:rRNA from 1 species
AUUGAACGCUGGCGGCAGGCCUAACACAUGCAAGUCGACCGAGUGGCGGACGGGUGAGUAAUUUCUGGGACACUGCCUGCUGGCGGGGGAUAACUACUGGCAACGGUAGCUAAUACCGCAUACCAUCAGAUGUGCCCAGAUGGGAUUAGCUUUUUGGUGGGUUAACGGCUCACCUAGGCGACGAUCCCUAGCUGGUCUGAGAGGAUGACCAGCCAGACUGGAACUGAGACACGGUCAAGACUCCUACGGGAGGCAGCAGUGGGGAAUAUUGCACAAUGGGCGCAAGCCUGAUGCACCCAUGCCGCGUGUAUGAAGAAGGCCUUCGGGUUGUAAAGUACUUUCAGCGAGGAGGCGUUACCCGCAGAAGAAGCACCGGCUAACUCCGUGCCAGCCGCCGCGGUAAUAC